UGAUGAUGUCACAGUGAGGGGGCAAAAUUAUUUAGAAGUUCUAGAAGUUUCUUCAUACAACCUGGCUGGGAAGCAUCAUGUGACCACGUUAUGGAGGCGUGAUUAAAGCCCAAGUAGACUGCAAUAGCAGAUGAUGGCUUCUCGCCCAGAGGACUACAUAUGGGCAGAUUGCACCGGUACAUCUGCCACAUCGAACUCUAUGGAAUUCUUUAUUGCUCGGAUUUUUUGGAGCCGGAGUCUUUCUGUAGGGACGGAGCCGACACAUCAAGGCGUCAGGAAUAAACUGAGAGCAAUCCUCACGUGGAUCCUACCAGCUGUCAUCCAUUUCCUCAUAUUAAAGAUAUUCCC